GCCACCUUAGCUCAGUUGGCAGAGCAAUGCUUUCGUAAAGCAGAGGUCCCCGGUUCGAAUCCGGGAGGUGGCU
rnacentral:tRNA from 1 species